GUUGGUUGUUGUGAUUGUGGGUUGGCUGUGUUGUGAACGUGGACACGGCAUGAAACGACCGUGCACCUGGUUUUAUCAAGAAACCAUCAGUGGAUGACCGCGUUACUGCCACGGAUAGGGUCCACAGUAUCGUCUAAUCCCACGUGCAACAGCGGCACAUCGGGGAACGUUAAGCUGGCACCCAGCUCGCCUGCACACUUACUCGUCUCGUCUCCAUCGCAAAACUCACGCAGAUCAACUUCUGAACUUACAGCGGCGUUCGUGACGUCUUCUGUUUAUGCAUCGCGUCGGACUGUAGACUUGGCAACGUUCUGCUUGCGCUCUGUGUAUUCCUCCGGAGUCUUCGAAAUUCGUACGCUUCACCCAGGGGUUGAUCUACACCUGUGGUGCCUGCCGUUUCGAUGAUAUGUCGUCCUUCAGGUUUCAGAAGAGCCGCAGACUCCGGGGACGUCUCCUACAGCUAGCCACCCACCACCUUCCCGAGAUACAUUGUGUCGUGAUCCGCAACCGCCAACAAAGGACCCGGUCGACUUGCGUUUUUAAUUUUUAAUUAACUAGUGAACUAAUUCCACAUCCAAGCACUUUCGCCGGAUCUCUUGCCCUUUCCGGAGGGCUGGACGAAGCCUCGUGCAUUUUACAGCUAGUACAUGUUCGAUCGUUCAAUUCUAGUUUCGGCACAUGGCGCGCGAUGUUGUGAUUUCCUCCAAUUAAGCCCAAAUGUCUCGGUUUACAUCACCCCUUUUCUUACUUCAAACAUGAGAGGGCUUCCUCGGGGAUAAUAAAAUAAAACUACUUUCCUUAUUGCGUGUUUUUAAUGACUUGUGCCUGGUUAGAGAUGAUAUUUUUGUUUUGCUUUACUUUGUUUUGUGGUUGAAGUGGGACAAGGAUGAAACACCACAGUCAUAGCUUGAUGGAGGCCCAGGCGUCUUCAUUAAAAUGACACUGAACUCCCCCCCCCCCCCAUUUUUUUAUGUGCCGGAAGAGAACAUUUGUGUCGCAAAGUAAAGUUUCCGCUAAAAAAAUAAUUUUUUGUGCUACAGUUAUGUUGAGAGAAUCAUUUUAAGCUCUUUUCAAAACUUUGCAGGUCAGAAUCUGGGCCUUCUCCGAAGGAUAAAGUGGUGAAUGGCAUGUUGCUGCCUCGGAAAGAUGGCCAUUCUUCUGCCAAGUCAACCUUAGGCAGUGUCGUACCCAUGGAGGUAGGAAGCUUCUAAAGGUGACAUGACGCCUCCAAAGGUGAUAUCGGAGGGGACUUUGAGUUUGGAGGGACACGCUCCCCAACGGUGACCAAAACCAAAAGACGCUAUUGGACAGAAAGGACAGCUGAUUUGGUGCCAACAGCUGUUUUGGUCAACCUUGGGGGCGUUGCCACCAAUUGCUCCCUCUACUUCCGUCUCCACUUACGAUUUUCUCGUUUGGCUGGCUUGAGCCGGUAUGUCGCUUCUUCUUCCUACCUCCAUGGCCAGACCUUUGUGUUAUGUUCUCACAGAGAUGUGACAGGUCAGAUCAAAUGCCGUGUGGCCACAGCGUGAUCACUUGCAUGCCGUCGUUCUUACUGUCUACUUUACCUUAGCUAGCAAACCCACCUGAUUUUAUUUGUUGCCAUCUUAUCCUCAGAAGUGGACCCAGCAUGACAUGGUGCUAUUGUUGCUUUUGCGUUAUACCUUUCAGGAGACUGGAAGCACACAGAGCACUGUACUUGUGCCACACUUUUUUUUUUUAUUGAAGGCCAUGCUUCUUUUCUCCAGUGAUGUCUAUCUAUUGGCUUCUGUGGCCUGUGAUGUAUUGAAGCACAGAUAGACUGCAUCUAAUUAAAAUUGCGAAUGUUUUUUUUUUCUUUUUUUUUUUAGAGUGCAGCUUUUAAGCGUUUGUUUCUGGGUUUACCGGCGUCAGCGUCGGUGUAACUGCACGUAGCAUUAUGGGACAUUUUUCAUAAUGACGUCACACGUAAUGUCACGUGUGACGUCACAAAGGUAAACUUUUCCCGCUAAACUUGCUGGGAAAACUCCCCCACUAAAUUUAGCGGGAAAAGUUUUGCACUAAAUUUCCCCGCUAAUUUUAGCAGGAAUGUUUUUCCGCUAAAUAUAGCAGAAAGAUUUCCACGCUAAAUUUAGCGGGGAAAUCAAUGUCACGUGAACUCAACACCAAUUCAGUUUUACCGCUACAUUUAGCGGGAAAAUGUUUCUGCUAAAUUUAGUGGAAAAAAUUUCCCGCUAAAUUUAGCGAGGAAAUUUUUGCUAAAUUUUACGCUAAAUUUAGCGGGGAAAUGUUGGUAAAUUUCACGCUAAAUUUAGCGGGGAAUAUUUCUUCGCUAAAUUUAGCUAGGAAAUUUUUGCUUAAUUUAGUGGGAAAUCCAGCGAAAAUUUCCCGCUCAAUGGGAGGGGAGUGGGGGCAUACCCUCCCCUCUUUACCCCCCCUCCUCCUCAAGAGCUGCGCUCUAAUUCGGCAUUACGGAGAAUCGUAAACAUCUUUCAUUUUUUUACAUCAGUGUAACUUGAUGUUCAGAGUGCACUUGUUUGUGUACAGUUCUGUGGCUGUGCCACUUCUGGAGUUAUCCACUGGAUGAGCGUAAACUCCUGAGCUUACUUGAUGCAUUCAAGUGUAGCUGUCCUUUUGUUGUGAUUUCUUGUGGGACCAGUUUCUUGAGUAGUGUAAAUAACUCGCAUUGAAUUUGAUCUGCCUUUCAACAGGGUUUUCCAAGACAACCUUUGGCGGCGAAGGGGUUUUCACUGACGGUAGAUUUCUCCUUCCGAAAUGCCAGUUUGAACUGGCAGCAAUGCAAGGUGCUUCACAGAGGGAGUGGUAUGCUUAUCAGCACCCCUUGCUCGUACUCCAACAGGAAUGAAUUGAAUGCCACCAGGCAUGAGAGCAAGCACACUGGACAGAAACUACCCUAAUUUGCAGUUUGUUAAAACCAUACUCAUCUAAAGCUUCAAAGAGGAGUCAUGAAUGAUUCCACAUGGACGACAAGACUGUUUGAUACUAGAUGUUUUAGAGGGUUAGUUUUGACAUAGUAUUAGAAGACUGGCUGAAAGGUCUACUAAAAGACAAAAUGGUUAAAUAAAAUUCACAGGAUCUCUUUAGGUUAUUCCUUAGAUGACUUGAAGGCGAAAGCCCAAGCGCCGCUGCAUCAAAGACGACACAUCAUUUACAGAUGUGGCGGUACCCCUCCGCCGUGGCAGAGGGGUAACGUGUCGGACUAUUGAACGAAAGGUUGCUGGUGCGACGCCAGCCGAGGGACAAGAGCAAAAAGUCUUUUCGGAGGAAUAUUAAAAUUCAGAUGUCACAUAAACAUUUUGGUACCUUUUGUGCCGCUGACGUGUUUUCGCUCGAGGACUUUGGAGGUCAACUAAAUGAAAAGGCGUAUAAUACUUUUGACUUAAAAAUUUAGUUGACCAUGCACCAAAUUUGACAUCUUUACAAUGACAUGUGCAAAAGCUCAACAUCAUAUGGUUACCUACUUUGUGCUGUUUUGGUUGGUAUGACAAAAAGUACAUGGCAAUGUUUCAUAAUUCUUAUCUAUGUUGUAGCCCUGAAAUGUUUUUUGUUUCACUAGCCUGAGAUAUAGUUCUCAUAUUUUCAGUAGUGUUAUCAACAUUUGGCAUGAAAAAGGCAAAUAUUUAAUCAAUACUUUUAUCUUAAGUGGUUAAUUUCACUGAUUUGUCCCACUUGUAGAGGUAUAAAAUCAUGUUUAUAUCUGCAGAUAGAACUCUUCAUUAGCUAAUGUAUUGGCCUGACAGUGUAUAAAGAACCUUGUCAAAUAUGAUCAAAAUGCAUCCUUAGGCUGAGAGACUGAGUGCCUUCUCUUGGCUGAGAGAGCCCUUGAAUGCUGUCUGUCCAGAAAAAUGUCUGUAAAAUUAAAACUGGCACGAUUCCUUUCGUUCCACUGCUCUCACAGAUGAGAUCGAGGCAUACCCGGAAAAGAAAGGGGCCCUUGGCUGCGAGGAUGGAGGGAGCAACCUCUCUUUUUCAAAAGCCCGGUUGGACAUGCAGCAGCAGAGGACGUACCAUCAACAGGGCACGCACCGCUGCCGCUUCUGCUCUUACCACAGCCGCUAUGCACACAAUGUGGCCUGUCACGAGAGGAUCCACACAGGGGAGAGGCCCUUCCACUGCCGUUUCUGCCACAAGGCUUUUCCACACAGGUCUAACCUACGAACACACGAAAAGGUGCACACAGGCGAAAAACCGUUCAGGUGUCAGUUUUGCCAGCGAGCGUUUGUGCAGAACAUUCACCUAGUGCAUCACGAAAGGAUCCACACCGGGGAGAGGCCGUUUCAGUGUGGGACUUGCGGAAAAGCGUUUAUCCAUUUGUCUUCCAUGACACGCCAUGAGAGAGGUCACACGAGAGUGCAGCCCUAGAGUUGCGAAACCCAUGAGAGGGGUUUCUCCCAGACGUAGCUUUUAAACGAGCACAAGAGGUAAUACGUGCAAGGAAUACCACCGUUGUGAGACCUCUGGAGAUGCAUUGCACGGAAAACUUGUUUCAAACUCCUAUGUGUUAAUGCCUGGCAGCUGACCUGCAGGUCCUGUAUUUGCAAGAAAUUUGGUUUGCAUGAGGUUAGAUAUUUGCAAUGCCUGGUUUACGACAUAUUCUGAAAAGAUAAUAUGUCAGUUUGAUACUUUAGUUUCAUGUUUCGUUGAAGAGGAAACGACUAUGUAUGGCCAUAAAAAUAUGCUUUUUUGUUUCAAAGUGGUCAAAAUAUUAGGCACUGAAGAAAUUCGGCCAUCUGCAUUUAACUCUUUUUUAAUCUUUUUUUUUUUGCAUUCCUCCCAUUGGAGAGCAUGGCAAAAGAGCUGAAGUGCACCUGAUCUCGCCACACAGCCAUCUCCUUUUCGCAAAAUAAAGUUUGUCUGAUUUGGUCACCAUCA